UAAAAUGGCUAUUGAAUUUUUCAAAAUUUUUUACUUAAACCAACGCUUAUUGUAUGGCUUUCAUUGUGUACAAUGCUUGUGCCAAUUGAAAGCUUUCAUUUUCAUUUUCUUUUAUAGUUUAAUAUUUUUUUUCUUGAAAUAGCUUUAAACAUCACGAAUAUACGGAUUAAAAUAUAAAUAAAUUUUUUCUCUAAUCUUCAACAUUGAUCAUCAAAUCAAUUAAGAUCUAAGGAAUGUUUUACUCAUCAAUAGGUAUUGAUUUAUCACAUCGAUCGUCGAAUCGUCGUUUGGAGUUCAAUAGCUGAAUUUAAAAAAAAAAUUAAUAACUCAAUAACUUAAAUAAAAACUUUUGAAUAAUUCAGUGAUUUCAAUG
rnacentral:pre_miRNA from 1 species